rnacentral:rRNA from 1 species
AGGGAAAGGCGAAAAGAACCCCGGCGAGGGGAGUGAAAAAGAACCUGAAACCGUGUACGUACAAGCAGUAGGAGCCCCACCACCAAAGCGUUUCGCUUUGCGUGGUGCGCAAAAUGCGUAACGACAGCGCGAUGGACGGUUAACGGAGCGUAAGCGACGUUCAACAUCAAAAAUCAGGCAGUGGAGCGUUUUGGGGUGGGGUGACUGCGUACCUUUUGUAUAAUGGGUCAGCGACUUAUAUUCUGUAGCAAGGUUAACCGUAUAGGGGAGCCGCAGGGAAACCGAGUCUUAACUGGGCGUUAAGUUGCAGGGUAUAGACCCGAAACCCGGUGAUCUAGCCAUGGGCAGGUUGAAGGUUGGGUAACACUAACUGGAGGACCGAACCGACUAAUGUUGAAAAAUUAGCGGAUGACUUGUGGCUGGGGGUGAAAGGCCAAUCAAACCGGGAGAUAGCUGGUUCUCCCCGAAAGCUAUUUAGGUAGCGCCUCGUGAAUUCAUCUUCGGGGGUAGAGCACUGUUUCGGCUAGGGGGUCAUCCCGACUUACCAACCCGAUGCAAACUACGAAUACCG